GGCGAGGCAAAGUGCAAAUUUGCAGAAGCACCAGAAGGUGCCCCGGCU
rnacentral:tRNA from 1 species